rnacentral:rRNA from 1 species
UGGGGAAUAUUGCACAAUGGGCGAAAGCCUAAUGCAGCAACGCCGCGUGGAGGAUGAAGGCCUUCGGGUUGUAAACUCUUGUCUUCUGGGACGAUAAUGACGGUACCAGAGGAGGAAGCCACGGCUAACUACGUGCCAGCAGCCGCGGUAAUACGUAGGUGGCAAGCGUUGUCCGGAUUUACUGGGCGUAAAGGAUGCGUAGGCGGAUAUUUAAGUGGGAUGUGAAAUACCCGGGCUCAACCUGGGUGCUGCAUUCCAAACUGGAUAUCUGGAGUGCGGGAGAGGAAAGUGGAAUUCCUAGUGUAGCGGUGAAAUGCGUAGAGAUUAGGAAGAACACCAGUGGCGAAGGCGACUUUCUGGACCGUAACUGACGCUGAGGCAUGAAAGCGUGGGGAGCAAACA